rnacentral:rRNA from 1 species
GACGAACGCUGGCGGCGUGCUUAACACAUGCAAGUCGAACGGAAAGGCCCUGCUUUUGUGGGGUGCUCGAGUGGCGAACGGGUGAGUAACACGUGAGUAACCUGCCCUUGACUUUGGGAUAACUUUAGGAAGCUGGGGCUAAUACCGGAUAGGAGCUCCUGCUGCAUGGUGGGGGUUGGAAAGUUUCGGCGGUUGGGGAUGGACUCGCGGCUUAUCAGCUUGUUGGUGGGGUAGUGGCUUACCAAGGCUUUGACGGGUAGCCGGCCUGAGAGGGUGACCGGCCACAUUGGGACUGAGAUACGGCCCAGACUCCUACGGGAGGCAGCAGUGGGGAAUAUUGCACAAUGGGCGGAAGCCUGAUGCAGCAACGCCGCGUGCGGGAUGAAGGCCUUCGGGUUGUAAACCGCUUUCGCCUGUGACGAAGCGUGAGUGACGGUAAUGGGUAAAGAAGCACCGGCUAACUACGUG